AUUGAACGCUGGCGGCAGGCCUAACACAUGCAAGUCGAACGAGUGGCGGACGGGUGAGUAAUGUCUGGGAAACUGCCUGAUGGAGGGGGAUAAAUACUGGAACCGGUAGCUAAUACCGCAUACCAUCGGAUGUGCCCAGAUGGGAUUCGCUAGUAGGUGGGGUAACGGGUCACCUAGGCGACGAUCCCUAGCGGGUCUGCGAGGAUGACCAGCCACACUGGAACUGAGACACGGUCCAGACUCCUACGGGAGGCAGCAGUGGGGAAUAUUGCACAAUGGGCGCAAGCCUGAUGCAGCCAUGCCGCGUGUAUGAAGAAGGCCUUCGGGUUGUAAAGUACUUUCAGCGUGGAGGCGUUACCCGCAGAAGAAGCACCGGCUAACUCCGUGCCAGCAGCCGCGGUAAUAC
rnacentral:rRNA from 1 species